GGGGUUGAGGCUCAGUGGUAGAGUGCUUGCCUAGCAUGCAGGGGACACUGGGUUCAAUCUCCAGCACCACA
rnacentral:tRNA from 1 species